AUUGAACGCUGGCGGCAGGCCUAACACAUGCAAGUCGAGCGAGCGGCGGACGGGUGAGUAAUGUCUGGGGAACUGCCCGAUGGAGGGGGAUAACUACUGGAAACGGUAGCUAAUACCGCAUACUAUCGGAUGAACCCAUAUGGGAUUAGCUUGUAGGUGGGGUAAAGGCUCACCUAGGCGACGAUCCCUAGCUGGUCUGAGAGGAUGAUCAGCCACACUGUGACUGAGACACGGCCCAGACGCCUACGGUAGGCAGCAGUGGGGAAGAGUGCACAAUGGGCGCAAGCCUGAUGCAGCCAUGCCGCGUGUAUGAAGAAGGCCUUAGGGUUGUAAAGUACUGUCAGCGGGGAGGCGUUACCCGCAGAAGAAGCACCGGCUAACUCCGUGCCAGCAGCCGCGGUAAUAC
rnacentral:rRNA from 1 species